AUGAACGCCCACUCCUGGAACCUUCAGAAACGCCCAUCAAAAGCAUUGCAACAGCACCCAGCACCCCUUCCCUUCCCCACCAUGAGUCCUUGGCCUCACGCCUUCGCCCUCCUCCUCCUCCUGGCCGCCGUCCCAGGGCUGCGGGCGGCCGCCACCUUGGAUGAGUCCGGAGGGGGCCGCGUGAGUCCCGGGGGGUCCCUGACCCUGGUCUGCAAGGGCUCCGGCUUCACCUUCAGCAGCUACGACAUGGAGUGGGUGCGACAGGCACCCGGGAAGGGGCUCGAGUUCGUCGCAUAUAUUAGCAGCAGUGGUAGUAGCACAUACUACGCGUCGGCGGUGCAGGGACGCUUCACCAUCUCCAGGAACAACGGGCAGAGCACGCUCACCCUGCAGAUGAACAGCCUCAAGGCCGAAGACACCGCCACCUACUACUGCGCGAAAGCUGCUGGUAGUGACAUUGCUGGUGCUCCUGGUGCUGGUUACAUCGAUGGUGGUGGUGACAUUAAAAAUGGUCUUGGUGAUGUUGACGGUCUUGGUAUUGAUUGUGGUGGUGCUGGUGGUGGUGGUGGUGGUCACAUUGGUCAUCUUGAUCACCCAAAUCCCUGGCAUUCCACCCCAAAUCAUUUGCUGAACCCAACUCAUUCCACUCACCCCAAGGUACUAAAUUAAGCCCAAAUUUACUGCUCCAUGCCCCAAACUUGCCCCUGGUGGUCCCUGAUCCUGGCCUUCAAGGGCUCCGGCUUCACCUUCAGCAGCUACCACAUGGGAUGGGUGCAACGGGAACCCAGGAAGGGACUUGAGUACGUCGCGGGUAUUCAG